rnacentral:rRNA from 1 species
UACGAGUGCCUCAAGCGUUAUCCGGAAUUAUUGGGCGUAAAGGGUGUGUAGGUGGUCAGAUUAGUCUUCUGUCAAAUUCUUCGGCUUAACCGGGGGUCCGCAGAGGAAACGGUCUGACUUGAGGAUAGGAGAGGUGUACGGAACUCAUAGUGUAGGGGUGAAAUCCGUUGAUAUUAUGGGGAACACCAAAAGCGAAGGCAGUACACUGGCCUACUCCUGACACUGAAACACGAAAGCGUGGGUAGCGAAUGGG